GUCCCGGUACAGGGGAAACGUGGGCGGCGGGCGCGCUGACCGUGCGGCCUUGCGGCCUUUGCAGGGAGAGCCAGGUGGAGCUCCGCGAGCAGAUCGACAACCUCGCCGCGGGUGAGUGGGCGGCCCGCGGACCCAGGCAGGACCUUCGGUUCCCCGUGCCCGGCCGGGUCUCUGCCCCUUGGCCCCAGGACGUCGGGGCCCUUGGGACAGGGAGUGAAAGGAAGUGGGGGAAGGACGGGACGAUUCCGCCUUCCUAAGAGCAGGAGGUGAGCUGCCAGACGUCUGUUGCUCUUCCGUCCCCAGAAUUGUGCCGCAUCAACGAGGACCAGAAGGUGGCCUUGGAUCUCGACCCCUACGUUAAGAAGCUGCUCAACGCCCGGCGACGGGUUGUUCUGGUCAACAACAUCCUACAGAAUGCCCAGGUAAACGAAGUCCCUGCUUCAAGUCCUCAACACAAUGAGUCACGACUUUUUAAAAAUUGGGGGGAAGGGAGUGGUCAACUAGCGUCAGUAAGACUCAGUGCUCAAUAUCCACUUGCAGCCAUUGACAUCCUACGUGAACUUUGACGCAGGACCGUCCUCAGGUGUUUCCAGCACCUGGCUGGCUGAACCCCAAAGCCUUUCACAGGGGCAGUCACUAGGUUCCACCUCUUCCUGUGUCCUGUAGGAGCGGCUGAGGCGGCUAAACCACAGCGUUGCCAAGGAAACAGCCCGCAGGAGGGCAAUGCUGGACUCGGGAGUUUAUCCCCCUGGUUCCCCAAGCAAGUAACAAGAUGGCAGGGGACUGAGCAGCACAAAUAGUUGUUACCCCGCUGCCUUGUUUCAACACACGAGAAGAUUCAGGGAACAAUUUCUGCAGACUUUGGGACACCUAAACGGUUUAUUUAAAGCACUUUCUCACUUCGUGGGAACCCAAGAAACCUGCGUGCAGUAGACUCAAGUUCCCAGAGGAACUUUCGUUACAGCUCUUGCUCCCUUCCAAGAACGAAAUGAGGUUUUUUUUCUUAACUACAUAGUUAACGCCCAUCUUUUUCAGGCCUCGCCAAUCAGGCUGGAGCUUCGUUUGUUACAUGUCUGGUUAUAGUGGACCCAGGCAACAUGUCCUCUACCUGUGACUUCUCUUUUUCCUUUUGUUUACACGAGGAUUUACAAAGAGAAGAUGAAUGAACUCUGUCCACCCUCUUCUGUUGAUUGCACUGGCUUGAAUACAACAGCAGUACUGCUAGAACCAUUUGAUUCAAUAAAUGCUUAAACAGUAUUCUCA
rnacentral:lncRNA from 1 species